rnacentral:tRNA from 2 species
GGCGGCAUAGCCAAGUGGUAAGGCCGGGGUCUGCAAAACCCCUACCCCCAGUUCGAAUCUGGGUGCCGCCU